GCUCCAUUGGCUUAGUGGUUAGAGCGUCCGCCUCGGAUGCAGGAGGUCAUGGGUUCUAUCCCCUGUCGACGCUCAGCA